ensembl:lncRNA
UGUGUCUCCCUCUCUCUCUGCCCCUCCCCUGUUCAUGCUCUGUCUCUCUCUGUCUCAAAAAUAAACAAACGUUUAAAAAAAUUUUAAAAAAGAAAAUGGGAUUUCCCAGACCCCCAACUCAGUUCCACUAAAUCAGAAUGUCACAGAGGGUAUCAGGACCUUAACGUUUCCAAACUCACACCAUGAUACUUAUAUGCACUAAUGUUUGAAAACUAAUGUUUAAGGAGUUCCCUAGAGGACCUACAGAAUAAUUAUAGCUUUAAAUACAUUUUCUUUUUCAUUUUGGGAUUCUGCAACAGAUCAUAUUUGAGAAAUCUCUUUUUCAGCUGCAAAAACCUCAGAGUUUAGAACCCACUGAACCAGUCCUGUGGUAGGUUGAAUUACUAACUUUAGUUAUCUCCUUGUACCACACUCUUACCAUCGCCUUUUCAUAGAUGCAGUAUAUUUCUACACUUCUUGACUUUGGCAUUGGUCAUGUGACUUGCCUUAGCCAAUGGCAGGGGAGGCAGAAACGACCUGUAAACCCUCAGUGUAAAGCAUUUAUCAUGGUGGCAGCUAAGUGAUACAUAAUUUAAACCCAAUUUUAUAGGUGAGGACACUGAGGAUCCAAGAAACAAAGUGACUGUCCUAAGGAGACUUCAUCCAAAGGAAUGAAGUCCUACCUCAAAAUGGUAGAACUCUCAUGGCAGGCCAGAAGAUGGGCACCGCAAAGAAGAGGUUUUCAACAUCCUUCCUCCCAAUCACACAAAGUAAAUGAGCAUCUUCAGGGGCCUUUGGAGGAGCAGCAUUGGUCUUCUCCAGAAAACAUCAUAUCAUGCCCAGCCAAGGAAAAAGCUGAAGUUCAGUGGGACCACCUCAUGCUUUGCAAGCUGUGUUUCCACCUUGGAAGUGAGUGAAGAAGGUUAUGGGAAAAUUCAUUUCCAGAAGAUAAAUCAGGAGAAAGGAUCCUGAGAAGAUUUGGGAGGAAAUGAACUUUUUUUGUUUGUUUGUUUUCACAAACAAAGACACGUUGUGAAUUCCGGGCAGGAUAUCGUUUCUGCCAGAUAAUUUUUGGAAGAGGCAAGAAUGCUAAGCCAGAGUUUCUCUUGGAAAGAUAACAGACCCUGGACGAUCUCUGUUGGGUAAGUUUCAGUAAGUAUGACAAAUCAAAUACUGCUUUUGCUAUUAAGUUCCAAUGACUGAGUGGGAAAGGACUGAUAAAGCAAUAAUUUUUUUUUUUUACAUGUUGCCUUCCUUUUCCCUUGAUUAGUGAAAAUUUUUUGGCUACCUUCUGUGGUCUUUGCUAUCAACAUAGCUGAGCAAUUAUUUUUUAAAAUUUCACCAAAACCUAUUUGUUAACAAUGUUUGCGUGUAGUAUGUUGCCUUAGCAACAUGCCUUUAGCAUGUUGCCUUAUUGUAUUUGGAAUAUUAAUAGCAUAGCUAUCAUUCUGGAGGUGCUCUGUGCAUAAAUCUUCCAAAUUGCACUUUUAAAUUAACAAAACACUGAAGCUUAGAGAGACUAAGUAAAAUGCUCAAGUCACAGAGUUAGUGAAGAGCGGAACUGGCAAACUCAGGUCUACCCCAGUCCAAAAGCCAUAUUCUACUCACCAGAAUGUGUCAGAGCUCACUGUGUGUGUCCACACACAAGCCCAUGCACAUUCCAUACCACUCACCAAACAAUAAAAACAUCUGCUGGUAAAGAAAGGUGUGCA